GACGAACGCUGGCGGCGCGCCUAACACAUGCAAGUCGAACGAGCGAGAGAGAGCUUGCUUUCUCAAGCGAGUGGCGAACGGGUGAGUAACGCGUGAGGAACCUGCCUCAAAGAGGGGGACAACAGUUGGAAACGACUGCUAAUACCGCAUAAGCCCACGACCCGGCAUCGGGUAGAGGGAAAAGGAGUAAUCCGCUUUGAGAUGGCCUCGCGUCCGAUUAGCUAGUUGGUGAGGUAACGGCCCACCAAGGCAACGAUCGGUAGCCGGACUGAGAGGUUGAACGGCCACAUUGGGACUGAGACACGGCCCAGACUCCUACGGGAGGCAGCAGUGGGGAAUAUUGCACAAUGGGGGAAACCCUGAUGCAGCGACGCCGCGUGGAGGAAGAAGGUCUUCGGAUUGUAAACUCCUGUUGUUGAGGAAGAUAAUGACGGUACUCAACAAGGAAGUGA
rnacentral:rRNA from 1 species